GGAACAAUAGUUUAGAGGUAAAGCAUGCGACUGCAGUUCGAGAGUUCUCCGGCUCAAUCCCGGGUUGCUCCU